rnacentral:rRNA from 1 species
GUGCCAGCAGCUGCGGUAAUACGUAGGGGGCAAGCGUUGUCCGGAAUUAUUGGGCGUAAAGCGCGCGCAGGCGGCUAUGUAAGUCUGGUGUUUAAACCAUGGGCUCAACUCAUGGUCGCACUGGAAACUGUGUAGCUUGAGUGCAGAAGAGGAGAGUGGAAUUCCACGUGUAGCGGUGAAAUGCGUAGAUAUGUGGAGGAACACCAGUGGCGAAGGCGACUCUCUGGGCUGUAACUGACGCUGAGGCGCGAAAGCGUGGGGAGCAAACAGGAUUAGAUACCCUGGUAGUCCACGCCGUAAACGAUGGAAUGCUAGGUGUUAGGGUUUCGAUACCCUUGGUGCCGAAGUUAACACAUUAAGCAUUCCGCCUGGGGAUACGGUCGCAAGACUGAAACUCAAAGGAAUUGAACGGGACCCGCACAAGCAGUGGAGUAUGUGGUUUAAUUCGAAGCAACGCGAAGAACCUUACAGGUCUGACAUCUGAUUGACCGUGCAGAGAUGUGCCUUU